rnacentral:lncRNA from 1 species
GUAGGGGAUGAGAUUUGCAAGUUGCCUAAUUUGGUGAAUUUUACUUAUUCGUACAAUUACUUUAAUGGACAAGGUAGUUCGUGUGUUCCUGGUGGUGGUCGGAAAGAGAUUGUGUUGGACGAUACACGUAAUUGUCUGACGGAUAGACCUGACCAACGGUCGGCUCAGGAAUGUGCGGUGGUGAUUAACCGUCCGGUUGAUUGUAGCAAGGACAAGUGCGCUGGUGGUGGAUCAUCUACUCCAUCGAGAUCAUCGCCGGUUCACAAGCCAUCGCCGGUUCCAACUCCGGUUGUUGACAAACCGUCGCCGGUUCCAACUGUCCCGGUUCACAAACCACAGCCACCGGAAGAGUCGCCGCAACCGGAUGAUCCUUAUGAUCAGUCUCCGGUGAAGAACCGACGCAGCCCACCUCCACCUCAUCAGUCUCAGCCUCCGGUGGUUUCCUCUCCUCCACCAGCUCCGGUGAACUCUCCUCCACCACUUCCUCCUCUUCCUUCACCACCACCACCAGUAGUCCACUCUCCACCGCCACCGGUUCAGUACACUGAAUCGCUGAUGCCGGUGAUUUUAGUAGAGGAAUUAUGAUUCAUUUAUACUCGAUAAGACAUGGGCUGGACUCUGAACUAUUUGUAUACAACAAUUCGAUUGAUAUGUAUGCUGAACCUGGUGGACCGCCACCUCCACCACCUCCGGUUAACUCGCCGCCGCCACCUGUUCACUCACCGCCGCCGCCUGUUCAGUCGCCACCGCCACCGGUGUUUUCUCCUCCAGCUCAACCGCCAAAAUCCAGCUCACCACCAGAAACACCAGUCCAACCGUCGCCAUCGCCAGCGGUCGUUCUUCCACCUCCGUCCCAAUCUCCACCAGUAGUCUACUCUCCUCCGCCAACGAUCACCUACCCACCAGCACCAGCUCCAGUGGAAGAGAAACAGACGCCGCCUGCACAAGAACCAGCUCCGGUUGAGAAGGAACAGGCGCCUCCGGCACAAGCACCAGCUCCGGUGGAAGAGAAAGAGACGCCAACGGCACAAGCACCAGCUCCGGUAGAAGAGAAACAGACGCCAAGAGCACAAGCACCAGCUCCAAGUGAUGAAUUCAUCAUACCACCUUUCAUCGGCCACCAAUACGCAUCGCC